UACGAAGGGGGCGAGCGUUGUUCGGAAUCACUGGGCGUAAAGCGUGCGCAGGCGGUUCGCUGUGUCCUGUGUGAAAGCCCCGGGCUUAACCUGGGAAUGGCAUGGGAAACUGGCGAGCUUGAGUGCGGCAGAGGGGGGUGGAAUUCCGCGUGUAGCAGUGAAAUGCGUAGAGAUGCGGAGGAACACCGAUGGCGAAGGCAGCCCCCUGGGUCGACACUGACGCUCAGGCACGAAAGCGUGGGGAGCAAACAGG
rnacentral:rRNA from 1 species